rnacentral:tRNA from 1 species
GGGUAAUUUGUGCAUGAGGGUGCCAAGAAGGGACACGAUAAGACAUAAUUUAUGCCUUCACACGGCAGGGGUCAGUGGUUCGAUCCCACUAUCGCCCACCA